GGGCGCUGAGCCAUGAUCAAACUCUUCGGUCUUGGAUGGACUCGCGGCCUAUCAGCUUGUUGGUGAGGUAAUGGCUCACCAAGGCGACGACGGGUAGCCGGCCUGAGAGGGUGACCGGCCACACUGGGACUGAGACACGGCCCAGACUCCUACGGGAGGCAGCAGUGGGGAAUAUUGCACAAUGGGCGCAAGCCUGAUGCAGCGACGCCGCGUGAGGGAUGACGGCCUUCGGGUUGUAAACCUCUUUCAGUAGGGAAGAGCGAAAGUGCGUACCCAGAAGAACGCCGGCUAACUACGUGCCAGCAGCCCGGUAAUACGUAGGGCGCGAGCGUUAUCCGGAAUUAUUGGGCGUAAAGAGCUCGUAGGCGGUUUGUCCGUCUGCCGUGAAAGUCCGGGGCUUAACCCCGGAUCUGCGGUGGGUACGGGCAGACUAGAGUGCAGUAGGGGAGACUGGAAUUCCUGGUGUAGCGGUGAAAUGCGCAGAUAUCAGGGGAACACCGAUGGCGAAGGCAGGUCUCUGGGCUGUUACUGACGCUGAGGAGCGAAAGCAUGGGGAGCGAACAGGAUUAGAUACCCUGGUAGUCCAUGCCGUAAACGUUGGGCACUAGGUGUGGGGACAUUCCACGUUUUCCGCGCCGCAGCUAACGCAUUAAGUGCCCCGCCUGGGGAGUACGGCCGCAAGGCUAAAACUCAAGGAAUUGACGGGGGCCCGCACAAGCGGCGGAGCAUGCGGUAAUUCGAUGCAACGCGAAGAACCUACCAAGGCUUGACAUGUUCCCGACCGGGCCAGAGAUGGUCUUUCCCCUUUGGGGCGGGUUCACAGGGGGCAUGGUUGUCGUCAGCUCGUGUCGUGAGAUGUUGGGUUAAGUCCCGCAACGAGCGCAACCCUCGUUCCAUGUUGCCAGCGGGUUAUGCCGGGGACUCAUGGGAGACUGCCGGGGUCAACUCGGAGGAAGGUGGGGACGACGUCAAAUCAUCAUGCCCCUUAUGUCUUGGGCUUCACGCAUGCUACAAUGGCCGGUACAAUGGGUUGCGAUACUGUGAGGUGGAGCUAAUCCCAAAAAGCCGGUCUCAGUUCGGAUUGGGGUCUGCAACUCGACCCCAUGAAGUCGGAGUCGCUAGUAAUCGCAGAUCAGCAACGGGGCGGUGAAUACGUUCCCGGGCCUUGUACACACCCCCCGUCAAGUCACGAAAGUCUGGUAACACCCGAAGCCGGUGGCCCAACCCUUGUGGGGGAGCCGUUGAA
rnacentral:rRNA from 1 species